UGUUGUGAAAGAGCUUGCAGAAGAAUAAAUGAGUGUGAAGUUGAAUCCUGGAGGGACUGUUGCUUUGGUGUACUAAGAUGUGAAAUCAGAAAAUGAAUAUCUUCUCUUGUGGAGUGAGCUUAGUGAUUGGAUUACUGCAUUUUGUGGCUACUUAUAUACUUAGCGUAUUCAGCAAGCAAGUCCUUAGUUAGAGUACUGUUGAAGUGGCCUGUCAGAACACAUUUGUCUGUGAACCAAUAUUUUAAAGAAGCACAAGAGGGUUAUCUUGUUUAACCUGCACCAAGAAAGGACCUUGUCAUCUCUGAUGGUUGUGAAAGAGCCAUUCAGUUUAGGCCAUUCUUGAGUUAUCAUUUAGCAAACUGUCCAAAUUUCACAAGUUCUGUAAAGAAAAAUCUCAGCUUUGAAGAUGAAUGGUAGUUUGUUCUCUUCUAACUAGCAAUGAUAUCUUUAGAGUGACAUAUUUUGAGCAUUUAAGAAGAGAUGGUCACUUGUGGUGAGACGGUGUGAUUGUUUUUUUUGUUUUGUUACUUAUUCUGAUUUUGAUCCUACAUUGUAUAGAAAAAACAAUAACAAAACAAUGUGUGCGGAGUAUCAGCACUGCUGGUAUUCACAGAGAAAGUGCCUAAAAAUCUCAGAUGACAGCACUUGUUAGCUUUGUUUGUGCCAUAUAUAUACUAUACGGGCUUUUUCAUCUGCUUACUGGUGGGAUUAAUGUAGUUCAUGUAGUUGCUCACAUUAAAAGUGUUUUAGAAGUAAUAUACUGUUAAAGUUUGUUUGAAAAUUGACAUAUAAGGUCAAAUGUUUCCCUGAAGGGGAAGAAGGGUAGUUCGAGCCAUUACGUAUUAUCUUCUGCCAGCUUUCAUUCUGGCAUUUAUGAAUUCAAGGUAAGUCAUAUUCUAAGUGAUUUGGUAUGUAAAUUAAAACUUUGCUUGAAAUCUAAGAUAGACUCAGUCAGAGUACUGGGAUAGUCUUUUAUAUUUUUAUGUUAUUAAGCUAAUUCAUUUACGAGCAGAAUGCUUUUUCUAUUUGGGAAUUGCAAAACUGGUAACGAAGGGGAUAUUUAUGCAGGCUAUAUGGGGAAUUUGACUUAAAAUAGCAAUAACACUAGAAUAAAAUGUGACACUGUCUUUUGAUGAUUUAAAGCAAAUUGAUUGAAACUCGUCCUCUUAUUAAUUCAUUUGCUUUCAUAGGAAUUAUUGGUUAGUUAGUAAAAGGCACUGUAACAUUCUUUGCAAAUCGUGAGCUAACGUUGCGUCUACUAAUAGUGUUGUCUAACAUCUUG
rnacentral:lncRNA from 1 species